CCUACGGGAGGCUGCAGUGGGGAAUAUUGGACAAUGGGGGGAACCCUGAUCCAGCAAUGCCGCGUGUGUGAAGAAGGCCCUCGGGUUGUAAAGCACUUUCAGUGAGGAAGAACGCCUGGUGGUUAAUACCCAUCAGGAAAGACAUCACUCACAGAAGAAGCACCGGCUAACUCCGUGCCAGCAGCCGCGGUAAUACGGAGGGUGCGAGCGUUAAUCGGAAUUACUGGGCGUAAAGCGCGCGUAGGUGGCUUGAUAAGACGGUUGUGAAAGCCCCGGGCUCAACCUGGGAACGGCAUCCGGAACUGUCAAGCUAGAGUGCAGGAGAGGAAGGUAGAAUUCCCGGUGUAGCGGUGAAAUGCGUAGAGAUCGGGAGGAAUACCAGUGGCGAAGGCGGCCUUCUGGACUGACACUGACACUGAGGUGCGAAAGCGUGGGUAGCAAACAGGAUUAGAUACCCUAGUAGUC
rnacentral:rRNA from 1 species